CUCAUCUCCUCCACAGACACACCAAAUCUACACCUAUUUAUAGAGCAAUUCCUCUUGAAGAAGAACUGAGGGCUGACUGAAAGCUUCUGCACAACAAAAAAUAGACCACACAGAGAGUGGCAAGAGAGAGGGGGACUUGGUGACCAAGGGAAUCCCCACUCUGACUCUGUACACUGCAGUGGGAAGGGAUAGUACUGAGGGACUGUGAAAAGAUUAGUCUGCCCUGGAGCACAGAAAAAAAGCCACAGUAUAAAAGAGCAACUGGAAUAUAAAAGAACCAGCCCUAGAACCUUGACAAAUGGCAGGGGAGCUGCUGGAACUCUCUCCAGGUCCCUUGUAGCAGAGAGUGGAUGGCCAGAACAGGAAAAGCCUGAUGACUGAGAGCUGUGGGUGGCCAGCCCUAAGUACAGAAAAGGUAGACCAGAGAUUUGUCUGAAAUUCCCCAAAUAACAGCCAACUAAUUGAAUGUCAAAGAAAAAUCCUGUUCAAAAUUUGAUGCAUGCACGUUUUCCUUUUGGUGAUUUUUCAUUAGGAACUUGACGUCAAUAUGUUGACAUUUAAAAAGGCAAUUCUGCGAGGCAGAGCUGCAGGGGGGGAAUGCAUUUCUGAGUCAGACAAGAGUCACUUGUUCACUGUAAGCCUCAGUUUUCUCAUCUGUAAAAUAAUGGUAAUGAUAUCUACUUUGCAGGCGGUUGUGAGGAUAGAAAGAGUAAAAGUGCCUGGCAUAUGCCUGAAGUGCAGAGGAUGCUGGGAAGCUUCCCCGAUGACUCCAUUCCCAACCAAGUGCUCCUCCUCCGGGCUCUCAGAACAUCCUGUGCCCAUCUCAGUCUUUGCAUAUCCCACUGCAUGUGAGAACAUUUAAGACCUGGUCUCUUGGUAAGUUUGAAGUAUAAAAUACACUAUUAUUAACUAUAAUCAUGAUGCUGUGCAUUAGAUCUCCAGAAUUUAUUUAUCUACCAAGUGGAAGUUUCUUCUCUUUGACUAACAUCUCCCCAAUUCCCUCACCCCCAGGCCCCACUUACCACCAAUCUACUCUCUGUUUCUAGGAGUUCAGCUUUUUUAGACUCCACAGAUAAGUGAUAUCAUAAAGUACUGUUGUCCCCUGACUUAUCUCUCACUUAGCAUAAUGCCCUCAAAGUCCAUCCAUGGUAUAGCAAAGGGCAGGAUUUCCUUUCUUUUUCAUGGAUGAAUAA